AGAGUUUGAUCAUGGCUCAGGACGAACGCUGGCGGCGUGCUUAACACAUGCAAGUCGAACGGUAAGGCCCCUUUUUUUGGGGUGUACGAGUGGCGAACGGGUGAGUAACACGUGAGUAACCUGCCCCAGACUUUGGGAUAACAGUUGGAAACGAUUGCUAAUACUGGAUAUGAGCUGCUGCCGCAUGGUGGUGGUUUGAAAGUUCCGGCGGUUUGGGAUGGGCUCGCGGCCUAUCAGCUUGUUGGUGAGGUGAUGGCUUACCAAGGCUUCGACGGGUAGCCGGCCUGAGAGGGCGACCGGCCACAUUGGGACUGAGAUACGGCCCAAACUCCUACGGGAGGCAGCAGUGGGGAAUAUUGGACAAUGGACCAAGAGUCUGAUCCAGCAAUUCUGUGUGCACGAUGAAGUUUUUCGGAAUGUAAAGUGCUUUCAGUUGGGAAGAAAGAAAUGACGGUACCAACAGAAGAAGUGACGGCUAAAUACGUGCCAGCAGCCGCGGU
rnacentral:rRNA from 1 species